rnacentral:rRNA from 1 species
GUAGGGAAUAUUGGGCAAUGGAUGCAAGUCUGACCCAGCCAUCCCGCGUGCCGGAAGAAGGCCCUCAGGGUUGUAAACGGCUUUUGACGGUGAAGAAUCGACAGGAUGCGUCCUGUUUUGACGGUAGCCGUUGAAUAAGCACCGGCUAACUCCGUGCCAGCAGCCGCGGUAAUACAGAGGGUGCGAGCGUUGUCCGGAUUUAUUGGGUUUAAAGGGUGCGUAGGCUGGAAGGUCAGUCAGCGGUGAAAAGCUGUCGCUUAACGAUAGUCUUGCCGCAGAUACUUCCUUUCUUGGAUGAGGAGGAGGCCACUGGAACGGAUGGUGUAGCGGUGAAAUGCAUAGAUAUCAUCCAGAACACCGAUUGCGAAGGCAGGUGGCUGUACCUUAAUCGACGCUGAUGCACGAAAGCAUGGGGAGCAAACAGGAUUAGAAACCCUUGUAGUCC